rnacentral:tRNA from 1 species
CCUCCUUUCUAAGGACGCAUCGUGAAAUAUAUUGGCGCCGUCUACGCAUCCCUUCCGAGCUCGAAAUAACAUUAGGACUAUCGUUGUAUCAGCAACAGUAAGUCUGUUGAUCCGAUAUGCGCUUGCCUUAUGGGGGCGUAGCUCAGUUGGGAGAGCGACGGCUUUGCAAGCCGUAGGUCGUCGGUUCGAACCCGUCCGCCUCCACCAAAUCUAUUUGGAUCUUGGUGAUUAUCAGGUUUGGGCUAGUAGCUCAGUUGGUUAGAGCGCGCGCUUGAUAAGCGUGAGGUCGGAAGUUCAAGUCUUCCCUGGCCCACCAUUUUUUUACGACCUAGGAGAGUGAAAUACUUAUUCCUAAGGUCGUAGCGCCCUAGUGUUAACGAAGUGAACAGUAAUGUCGCUUUGUGUUUUUUGAUUCGAGCUUGGAAGUUAUAGUUUUUGCUGACGUAAACUACGUCAGCGGGAAUGUGUUCUUUGACAUGGUGA